rnacentral:rRNA from 1 species
CGAACGGCAGCAGGAGUAAGCUUGCUUACUUGCUGGCGAGUGGCGGACGGGUGAGUAACGCGUAGGAAUUUGCCUUAAGGCGGGGGAUAACCCGGGGAAACUCGGGCUAAUACCGCAUAAACUCCACGGAGAAAAGGAUGGGACCGUAAGGCCAUUCACCUUAAGAGAAGCCUGCGUAAGAUUAGCUAGUUGGUGGGGUAAAGGCCUACCAAGGCGACGAUCUUUAGCUGGUCUGAGAGGACGAACAGCCACACUGGGACUGAGACACGGCCCAGACUCCUACGGGAGGCAGCAGUGGGGAAUAUUGGACAAUGGGGGCAACCCUGAUCCAGCAAUACCGCGUGUGUGAAGAAGGCCUUCGGGUUGUAAAGCACUUUUAGUUGGGAAGAAGUGAUGUUUUCGAAUAGAGGACAUUAUUGACGUUACCGACAGAAAAAGCGCCGGCUAACUCUGUGCCAGCAGCCGCGGUAAUACAGAGGGUGCAAGCGUUAAUCGGAAUUACCGGGCGUAAAGGGCGCGUAGGUUGCUAAGUAAGUUAGAUGUGAAAUGUUCGGGCUUAACCUGGAAUGGCCAUUUAAAACUGCUUAGCUAGAGUACAGUAGAGGGAAAGGGAAUUUCCGGUGUAGCGGUGAAAUGCGUAGAUAUCGGAAGGAACAUCAGUGGCGAAGGCGCCUUCCAGGACUGAUACUGACACUGAGGC